rnacentral:lncRNA from 1 species
CAGUGUCCAGCACUUCCUGUGCAUCUUUUUCUGCACACAGGUCCUUAGCACACUCUACCCAGAGUCUCAGCUGCAUGUGGACCUGCACAUACAGGAAUGCCUUGUGUACACUUGGAAGAUGGGAAUUGAGAGUUCCAGAGGUGAGGCACAGUGGCCUGCUCAGAACUGGACACAGGAAGCACUCAAGGCUGGCUGCAGUUGCCCAGGCUAGGCCUCUGCAGGAAGCAUGGAAGACCCCCAGCUGCCUCCGGCUGUGCCUCUGGCCCAUGCUUUAGCCUCUCUUUCCCCAGCCUGACACCCAGGGUGCUCUUCUGCCUGCUGGGGAGUCUCAGGCCCUUCAUAUCAGUAUCUCUUGUCUACAGCUGGUUUUCAUUGAAGCCCUUUGUGCUAAAAAGAAAAAAAAGAAA